rnacentral:rRNA from 1 species
CUACGGGGUGCUGCAGUGGGGAAUAUUGGACAAUGGGCGAAAGCCUGAUCCAGCCAUGCCGCGUGUGUGAAGAAGGCCUUCGGGUUGUAAAGCACUUUCAGUGGGGAAGAAAGCCUUGGGGCUAAUACCCUCGAGGAAGGACAUCACCCACAGAAGAAGCACCGGCUAACUCCGUGCCAGCAGCCGCGGUAAUACGGAGGGUGCGAGCGUUAAUCGGAAUUACUGGGCGUAAAGCGCGCGUAGGCGGUCUGAUAAGCCGGUUGUGAAAGCCCCGGGCUCAACCUGGGAACGGCAUCCGGAACUGUCAGGCUAGAGUGCAGGAGAGGAAGGUAGAAGUCCCGGUGUAGCGGUGAAAUGCGUAGAGAUCGGGAGGAAUACCAGUGGCGAAGGCGGCCUUCUGGACUGACACUGACGCUGAGGUGCGAAAGCGUGGGUAGCAAACAGGAUUAGAUACCCUAGUAGUC